rnacentral:rRNA from 1 species
UGCCUGCCAGUGACCAUGUGUUCAACGGCCGCGGUAUUCUGACCGCGCGAAGGUAGCGUAAUCACUUGUUUUCUAAAUAAAGACUAGUAUGAACGGCCACACGAGGACUUAACUGUCUCCCUUGUCCAAUCAGUGAAACUGAUCUCCUCGUGCAGAAGCGAGGAUAUUACCAUAAGACGAGAAGACCCUAUGGAGCUUUAAACUAGAUCAACUAUUUUAACUUCUCUCCAAGGAAUUAACAGAUAACCAAAUAUGCUGAUACAAGUUUUAGGUUGGGGCGACCAUGGAGAAAAAGAAAUCCUCCCUGAUGACUCACAAACCAAGAGCCACGGCUCUAAGUAUUAAGAUACUUAACUUCCAUUGACCCAUUUUAUGAUCAACGAACCAAGUUACCCUAGGGAUAACAGCGCAAUCCAUUUCAAGAGUCCCUAUCGACAAAUGGGUUUACGACCUCGAUGUUGGAUCAGGGCAUCCAAGUGGUGCAACCGCUACUAAAGGUUCGUUUGUUCAACGAUUAAAGCCCUACGUGAUCG